AGUGGCGAACGGGUGAGUAAUACAUCGGAACGUACCUGAUAGUGGGGGAUAGCCCGGCGAAAGCCGGAUUAAUACCGCAUACGACCUGAGGGUGAAAGCGGGGGAUCGCAAGACCUCGCGCUGUUGGAGCGGCCGAUGGCAGAUUAGGUAGUUGGUGGGGUAAAGGCCUACCAAGCCUACGAUCUGUAGCUGGUUUGAGAGGACGACCAGCCACACUGGGACUGAGACACGGCCCAGACUCCUACGGGAGGCAGCAGUGGGGAAUUUUGGACAAUGGGCGCAAGCCUGAUCCAGCCAUGCCGCGUGCGGGAAGAAGGCCUUCGGGUUGUAAACCGCUUUUGUCAGGGAAGAAAUACUCUGGGCUAAUACCCUGGGGUGAUGACGGUACCUGAAGAAUAAGCACCGGCUAACUACGUGCCAGCAGCCGCGGUAAUACGUAGGGUGCGAGCGUUAAUCGGAAUUACUGGGCGUAAAGCGUGCGCAGGCGGUUGUGUAAGACAGAUGUGAAAUCCCCGGGCUCAACCUGGGAACUGCAUUUGUGACUGCACGGCUUGAGUGCGGCAGAGGGGGAUGGAAUUCCGCGUGUAGCAGUGAAAUGCGUAGAUAU
rnacentral:rRNA from 1 species